AACGAACGCUGGCGGCAGGCCUAACACAUGCAAGUCGAGCGAGGACUUCGGUCCUAGCGGCGGACGGGUGAGUAACGCGUGGGAACGUGCCCUUUGCUUCGGAAUAGCCCUGGGAAACUGGGAGUAAUACCGGAUGAGCCCUUUGGGGGAAAGAUUUAUCGGCGAAGGAUCGGCCCGCGUUGGAUUAGGUAGUUGGUGGGGUAAUGGCCUACCAAGCCGACGAACCAUAGCUGGUUUGAGAGGAUGAUCAGCCACACUGGGACUGAGACACGGCCCAGACUCCUACGGGAGGCAGCAGUGGGGAAUCUUAGACAAUGGGGGAAACCCUGAUCUAGCCAUGCCGCGUGAGCGAUGAAGGCCUUAGGGUUGUAAAGCUCUUUCAGCUGGGAAGAUAAUGACGGUACCAGCAGAAGAAGCCCCGGCUAACUCCGUG
rnacentral:rRNA from 1 species